rnacentral:rRNA from 1 species
AAUAUUGGACAAUGGGCGAAAGCCUGAUCCAGCCAUGCCGCGUGUGUGAAGAAGGUCUUCGGAUUGUAAAGCACUUUAAGUUGGGAGGAAGGGUUGUAGAUUAAUACUCUGCAAUUUUGACGUUACCAACAGAAUAAGCACCGGCUAACUUCGUUCCAGCAGCCGCGGUAAUACGAAGGGUGCAAGCGUUAAUCGGAAUUACUGGGCGUAAAGCGCGCGUAGGUGGUUUGUCAAGUUGGAAGUGAAAGCCCCGGGCUCAACCUGGGAACUGCUUUCAAAACUGGCAAGCUAGAGUAUGGCAGAGGGUGGUGGAAUUUCCUGUGUAGCGGUGAAAUGCGUAGAUAUAGGAAGGAACAUCAGUGGCGAAGGCAGCCCCCUGGGCCGAUACUGACGCUCAUGCACGAAAGCGUGGGUAGCAAACAGG